CCGCGGUCAUACAAGAGACCCAAAUCAACUGUCCUACAAGCGGCGUAAAGAGUGGUAAGAUGCCUAUCCUACCUAACUAAGAUCAAAAUGCAACUAAGCU
rnacentral:rRNA from 1 species